rnacentral:rRNA from 1 species
UACGAAGGGGGCUAGCGUUGUUCGGAAUUACUGGGCGUAAAGCGCGCUCAGGUGGUCUUUCAAGUCAGUGGUGAAAGCCCGGAGCUCAACUCCGGAAAUGCCAUUGAAACUGUAAGACUUGAGGAUGAGAGAGGUGAGUGGAAUUCCCAGUGUAGAGGUGAAAUUCGUAGAUAUUGGGAAGAACACCGGUGGCGAAGGCGGCUCACUGGCUCAUAUCUGACGCUCAGGCGCGACAGCGUGGGGAUCAAACAGG